GAUGAACGCUGGCGGCGUGCCUAAUACAUGCAAGUCGAGCGAAGCGGGGACGGGUGAGUAACACGUGGAUAACCUCCUAUAAGACUGGGAUAACUUCGGGAAACCGGAGCUAUACCGGAUACUUAUAGAUUGAUCCUCGCUGCAUUAGCUAGUUGGUAAGGUAACGGCUUACAAAGGCAACGAUGCAUAGCCGGACUGAGAGGGGGAUCGGCCACACGGGAACUGAGACACGGCCCAGACUCCUACGGGAGGCAGCAGUAGGGAAUCUGCCGCAAUGGGCGAAAGCCUGACGGAGCAACGCCGCGUGAGUGAUGAAGGCCUUAGGAUCGUAAAACUCUGUUAUUAGGGAAGCGGUACCGAAUCAGAAAGCCACGGCUAACUACGUGCCAGCAGCCGCGGUAAUUC
rnacentral:rRNA from 1 species